rnacentral:rRNA from 1 species
GAAGCUGGAGUUGCUAGUAAUCGCGAAUCAGCAUGUCGCGGUGAAUACGUUCCCGGGCCUUGUACACACCGCCCGUCACACCAUGAGAGUUGGCAAUACCCAACGUACGUGAUCUAACCCGCAAGGGGGGAAGCGUCCUAAGGUAGGGUCAGCGAUUGGGGUGAAGUCGUAACAAGGUAGC